AGUGAACGCUGGCGGUAGGCCUAACACAUGCCAGUCGAACGGCAGCACAGUAAGAGCUUGCUCUUACGGGUGGCGAGUGGCGGACGGGUGAGGAAUACAUCAGAAUCUACUUUUUCGUGGGGGAUAACGUAGGGAAACUUACGCUAAUACCGCAUACGACCUACGGGUGAAAGCAAGGGAUCUUCGGACCUUGCGCGAUUGAAUGAGCCGAUGUCGGAUUAGCUAGUUGGCGGGGUAAAGGCCCACCAAGGCGACGAUCCGUAGCUGGUCUGAGAGGAUGAUCAGCCACACUGGAACUGAGACACGGUCCAGACUCCUACGGGAGGCAGCAGUGGGGAAUAUUGGACAAUGGGCGCAAGCCUGAUCCAGCCAUACCGCGUGGGUGAAGAAGGCCUUCGGGUUGUAAAGCCCUUUUGUUGGGAAAGAAAAGCAGCAGGUUAAUACCCCGCUGUUCUGACGGUACCCAAAGAAUAAGCACCGGCUAACUUCGUG
rnacentral:rRNA from 1 species